GACGUAGGGCGCGAGCGUUGUCCGGAUUUAUUGGGCGUAAAGAGCUCGUAGGCGGCUUGUUGCGUCAGCUGUGAAAACCCGCAGCUCAACUGUGGGCUUGCAGCUGAUACGGGCAGGCUUGAGUUCGGUAGGGGAGACUGGAAUUCCUGGUGUAGCGGUGAAAUGCGCAGAUAUCAGGAAGAACACCCGUGGCGAAAGCGGCUCUCUGGAACGGUACUGACGCUGAGACGCGAAAGCGUGGGGAGCGAACAGG
rnacentral:rRNA from 1 species